UACAGAGGUGGCAAGCGUUGUUCGGAAUUACUGGGCGUAAAGGGCGCGUAGGCGGCCUUGUAAGUCCUGUGUGAAAUCCCCCGGCUCAACUGGGGAACUGCACAGGAGACUGCUUGGCUUGAGUUCGGGAGAGGGAAGCGGAAUUCCGGGUGUAGCGGUGAAAUGCGUAGAUAUUGGGAAGAACACCGGAGGCGAAGGCGGAUUGCUGGGCCGACACUGACGCUGAGGCGCGAAAGCCAGGGGAGCAAACGGG
rnacentral:rRNA from 1 species